rnacentral:tRNA from 1 species
AGAGAGGUGGCCGAGUGGUUUAAGGCGCACGCCUGGAAAGCGUGUUGAGUGAAAGCUCUCGAGGGUUCGAAUCCCUUCCUCUCUGCAA